UCUUUUAAUUUUUUUUAUCACCAUCUUAGUUAAUAAAGAAAGAGUAAAGAAAAAGAAAGUGAAUAUAGAAAAAGAAAGAUUUUAUCCAUCUCUAUAUUUCACAUAGAUAUUAAUCUAUUGAAAAACUUUCAAUGGAGUCUUAUAUCGUAAAGAUAACAAUAACAGCUACCGAAGCGACUUUUCUUCUUCCAAUUGGAGGCAUAUUGGGAGGAAGAUUUCAGCAUAGAGGUGAUGCAAAAUUUAAUCUUAAUCAAGAAUUUGGAGGAUCCGGUAGAUAUGGUGCAGGAGGAAAUAAUGAAAUUUAUGGCGGAGGUCAGGGGUAAGCUAAGGUCAAGCACAAGAACAAGGUCAAGUUGAAUCCCAAGCCCAAGCCCAAGCCCAAGUUCAAGCCCAAUCCCAAGCACACGCACAAGCCCAAGGUCAUGCACAAUUCGAUUCUAACUUGGAUGGCUUUAGUAACAAAGGAACUAAUCAAAUUUUAGGUUCAGGCCAAGCAUCAAGUGUGGGCCAAGGGUCGGGCCAAGCUUUAGGCAAAGUCAAGCACAAUUCGGUUCCAACUUAGAAUUUCAUAAACACUUUAGAGGUUCUGGUAGAUUUAAUUUCGAUGUAAGUAAGAAAAUUUCAGGUUCAGGGAAAGCAUCGGGUUUGGGCCAAGGGUAAGGCCGAGCUUCAUGCCAGAUGUAGGUGGUAACUUUUGGCUAGAAUUGAAAAUGGUUCGAAUGUCAAAUUUUAGUGGUUGUAACAAACUAUUUAACCAAAAUGUUAAAAACACCAAACUUGAACUAGAAUAUCAAAAAUCAUGUAUGCACCAAGGGACUUGAUUUUUCAGAAUGCUACCCUCAAAAGGGGAGCCACAUGAAGUUCAUGAUUAAUAAAACCUAAUUUUGUACACUUGAAAUAUUAGA